GAUGAACGCUGACAGAAUGCUUAACACAUGCAAGUCGAUGGGGAAGUGGUGCUUGCACCAUGGUAACCAUGGCGGACGGGUGAGUAACGCGUAAGGAACUUGCCUGCGGGACCGGGAUAACAGCAGGAAACUGCUGACAAGACCGGAUAAGGUCAUUAAGCCGCAUAGCUUAGUGAUGAAAGGAGACGCCUGCGGAGAGCCUUGCGUCCUAUUAGCUAGUUGGAGGGGUAACGGCCCACCAAGGCGAAGAUAGGUAGCCGGCCUGAGAGGGUGGACGGCCACAAGGGGACUGAGAUACGGCCCUUACUCCUACGGGAGGCAGCAGUGGGGAAUAUUGGACAAUGGGGGCAACCCUGAUCCAGCAAUUCUGUGUGCACGAAGACGGUUUUCGGAUUGUAAAGUGCUUUCAGCAGGGAAGAAGUAAGUGACGGUACCUGCAGAAGAAGCGACGGCUAAAUACGUGCCAGCAGCCGCGGUAAUACGUAUGUCGCGAGCGUUAUCCGGAAUUAUUGGGCAUAAAGGGCAUCUAGGCGGCCUUUCAAGUCAGGGGUGAAAACCUGCGGCUCAACCGCAGGCCUGCCUUUGAAACUGAUAGGCUGGAGUACCGGAGAGGUGGACGGAACUGCACGAGUAGAGGUGAAAUUCGUAGAUAUGUGCAGGAAUGCCGAUGAUGAAGAUAGUUCACUGGACGGUAACUGACGCUGAAGUGCGAAAGCCGGGGGAGCGAACAGG
rnacentral:rRNA from 1 species